CUUUAACCCACACAGCAGGGUGUGGUGCAACUACGUUGGGUUACAGAUGGGUCCCACGGCGCAGGUCUCCUCAUUACAAGCUGAUGAGCAGACUGCACGCCUGCAUGACUGCUCAACCGUGCUGCUGUGGAAUGCUAACACUUGGUGCCAAGGAUUCCUCAGUGGAGUGCAUCCGGGCACACCAGCUGUGGCCAUCUUACAGCUGUAGAACAGCUCUCAGGCAUGCUCAUUCAC